UCCGAUAUGGUGUAGUGGCCAACAUGAUGCCCUCUCAUCUCAAUUGAGAGGUUAGGCAUAGCCCCGAGUUCGAUUCUCGGUUUCGGAA
rnacentral:tRNA from 1 species